CGGUUUCCCCUGAGGCUCUCCAGUGGUGGUAAUUCUCACUUUCUCUUACCCCCAGGCUGGGAUGAGUGAAUUCCUUGAACACCCCAAUAUCUUUCGUCUUCUCUCAUUCCAUGGUACUCAGCAAACCUUCAGCCACAGCUAAUUCCAGCCAAUUCCAGCUCUUUCAACUCCACACCUGUACCUGUGUGCCUUACGGGGGCUGAAGAUUAUGAACCUCAUGAGGACAAGGAUUUUCAUCCGUUUUGUUCUCUCAGCAAUAUCUGGAGCAAUAUCUAACACAGAGUUGGUACUAAAUAAUAAAUAAUAAAUUUGUUAAAUAAAAUACCAACAUUUUGCCAAAA